rnacentral:rRNA from 1 species
AGAGUUUGAUCCUGGCUCAGGAUGAACGCUAGCUACAGGCUUAACACAUGCAAGUCGAGGGGCAGCAUCAUCAAAGCUUGCUUUGAUGGAUGGCGACCGGCGCACGGGUGAGUAACACGUAUCCAACCUGCCGACAACACUGGGAUAGCCUUUCGAAAGAAAGAUUAAUACCGGAUGGCAUAAUUAUUCCGCAUGGGAUAAUUAUUAAAGAAUUUCGGUUGUCGAUGGGGAUGCGUUCCAUUAGGCAGUUGGCGGGGUAACGGCCCACCAAACCAACGAUGGAUAGGGGUUCUGAGAGGAAGGUCCCCCACAUUGGAACUGAGACACGGUCCAAACUCCUACGGGAGGCAGCAGUGAGGAAUAUUGGUCAAUGGACGAGAGUCUGAACCAGCCAAGUAGCGUGAAGGAUGACUGCCCUAUGGGUUGUAAACUUCUUUUAUAAAGGAAUAAAGUCGGGUAUGCAUACCCGUUUGCAUGUACUUUAUGAAUAAGGAUCGGCUAACUCCGUGCCAGCAGCCGCGGUAAUACGGAGGAUCCGAGCGUUAUCCGGAUUUAUUGGGUUUAAAGGGAGCGUAGGCGGGUUGUUAAGUCAGUUGUGAAAGUUUGCGGCUCAACCGUAAAAUUGCAGUUGAUACUGGCGACCUUGAGUGCAACAGAGGUAGGCGGAAUUCGUGGUGUAGCGGUGAAAUGCUUAGAUAUCACGAAGAACUCCGAUUGCGAAGGCAGCUUACUGGAUUGUAACUGACGCUGAUGCUCGAAAGUGUGGGUAUCAAACAGGAUUAGAUACCCUGGUAGUCCACACAGUAAACGAUGAAUACUCGCUGUUUGCGAUAUACAGUAAGCGGCCAAGCGAAAGCGUUAAGUAUUCCACCUGGGGAGUACGCCGGCAACGGUGAAACUCAAAGGAAUUGACGGGGGCCCGCACAAGCGGAGGAACAUGUGGUUUAA